CUAUAUUUAAAAGUACUAUGACAAAUCCAAAAGUUGUAUAGCAGCUAACGAAGAGAGAGGCAAGAGAAGGCGAUUUUUUCUCUCUGUUCUCUUUCCCCCAAACGCCUUUCUUCUCGGCCAGAUCCAAUUAGCUUCUUCUUUAAGGUGGUCGGCAGAGGGUGCGUCCCGUCGAUCCGCCAUCCCUUCUCUCCCUAUAUCCAAUUCCUCUUUCCUUGUUCGCGACGAGCUCCUCUCUUCCUCCUUGCUCCUCUUGCUCUGGCUCUCGCCGGAUUGUGGUCAGAUCCGGUGGAGAAUUGAUGUUUGGGUGCGUUCCCAGCAUUUCUGGAGAGAGGCAAUGUCGAGACAGUUCGUUUGCGUACAGGAGGCACCGUCGUUUAGGUAGAUCUAGGGUUUGUCUGAAGGCGGUUCUGGGUCAGUUCCGCCGCGGGGAUGUGUCGGAAUGAAGGGCGUCACUGCCUCUUCUUCUCCGACUUUACGUCUCCUCUGCUCUCCCCUCUCUCCUCCGUCGGUCGCAAUUGUAGAGCUUCCCCGUCUCUUUCCAUGGUCUGAGACGAAACGGCGAAUCUGAGGAGCUCGUUGGGGACAUCUCCUUUAGCUCAAGUGACAGCAACCAUGGUUUCUAGGGUGAUAUGUUCGACUCCCUUUCUUGCUACCGACGUCCUCUGCUAGGGUUUGAGGACAACCUCACGUGGAGACGCGCAGGCUUUUCAGUGGAGUUCUCUAUUACCUUGUGCGAUCCAUGCUUUCUAGGAGAGUUUUGUCUCCUGCUGUGCUUCAUGCCCCUGUUCAAAGCUCCGACAAGUUUGGCAUUGUGCUCCUUCGUUGUUUCUGCUGUAUCUAGUAUGUCGCGUGGGCGGUUUGGGAGCUUGUUUGUACCGCCAACGCUUGACCGUAACUCGAGCUUCAGUGUUCCACAGCGUUGCAAAGGCAGAGUCUUUGUCUCUCAGUCGAGAUAGUUUGGAUGCUUGGUCGAGGUCCUCCUCCAGCGGAGCUCCGGAGCGUAUGCCAGACGCAUCCGUCGAUGCCUGCUUGGAGCCACUUCGGUGAGUACUCGGCUGAUCUUCACUGGCUAUUCUCUUGCUUAUGCAAGAAGGCUUCCAUUAGGGGAUUAUAUUGUUGUUUUACUUGAGCUGAACCUAUUAACUUCAAGGCUCCUUUGUGUGUAGCUUGGAGUUAAUUUCUUGUAUCCUAGUGGUUUUUUUACUUUUUUUUGCGAUCACUAGGAUCAAAAUAGCUAUGGCAGAAUGUGGUUGCAGCUAGCUUUGUAACCGAACCUUCAUUGACGGUCAAUGAUAUUUACCAUUUAGCAAAAAAAAAAAAGUACUAUGAGGAGAACUCUCAUGUUGACAAGUCAGUAAAUGGCAUGUCUGUAAAUAUUUUACACUUUGAAGGUUACUUUUUAAAAGUGUUUCUCUUUUAAUAGUAAGGAGAUGUUUCUCGUAAUUUCAUUAGAGCUAUCAUUAUCGCUGUUGUUUAUCAUGAUUGUUAGGUUAAUUAUAAUUUGAAAAAAAUAAAAAUUAUCUUUUAAUAGAAGCAACGUUGUUUAAUUAGGGGACGGAAGAGACGUAGCUUAUGGACACGCGUCAUACGUUGAACUCUCUCUCUCUCUCUCAUCUCUAUUUCUCUCCCGUAGAAAAAAAAACGGAAGAAUAGCGAAGAAGAAGAAGAAGAAGAAGAAGAAUCAAAGCAUGAGUGGGCAAGAGAAUCACGACGCCAGCCGGAUCUCUACUCCCUCCGAAUCAGAGCCCAAAGCUCCUCAAUCCUCUGACUAUCACUCCUUACCCUAAGCUCGAUCCCAACGACGUCAAUCCUCCUCCUUCUCCCAUCUCCGGCAACGCCGCCACCACCAUGUCGUCGGAGUUCAAUCCCUACGUCUUUCCUUCCACUGUCCCCAAGAAUACAAUGAACUCUGUGAAGGACACGCUUGGAAAAUGGGGGAAGAAGGCUGCAGACGCCACCAAGAAGGCUCAAGAUCUCUCCGGAAACGUUUGGCAGCACUGUAAGAAGCACCUCCCUUGUCCCUUCUUCUUUGACGAUCAGUGAUGAAUCUAGUGUAUGUAUGGUUGUUUUACUGGUAUAUUGUUUCUUUUUGCUUUGUGUGAAGAACUAGUGUUGUAUUAGAAAUAUGAACUGAAGAUAGUUUAAUUGGAAAACAAGAACCGCUACAUGAUUAUGAAGAAGCUCUCAAGAAGAAGCUCAUUACUGAGUUGUUGUCUUAAUGUUGUCUGAAGAAGAAGUUUAAGUUCAAGUCUCAGUUUAAGUUCAAGAAUUAGUUUAAGUUGAAGUCUCUGUUUGUUGUUCUUCAUGUCUCUGUUUGUUGUUUUUCAAGUUCAAAACUAUGGCUACUUCUGUUUCAUGUCUCUGUUUGUUGUUUUUCAACAAGCGUUUUUUAGUUUCUGUUUCUGUUUCAUGUCUCUGUUUGUUGUUUUUCAAGUUCAAAACUAAUCUACUUAAGUAAGAUGAGGUCAUCUCUUCA